UCCUCGCUCAACAAAUCGCAAUCAAAGCUCACACACAGACAUGGCCUCGCGCCACUGUCCUACAUACAUUGCUUUGGGAGAAAGUCCCCGGACACCAGUGUUAUUCACUGCAAGCUGAAAAGCGCCGCCACAGAAGCAUUCCCGCGGCUUAUCCUCUCCUGCACCUCCAUCCUUCCUCACCACCCAUCAUCGGUUGCACUCUUUCCGGACAGCUCCUCUGCUCGACCUCGCACCUGGGCUGAAGACCGCCGCAAGAUGCCUUCGCAAGAGGGAGACGAGGAUAUGAGUCUGCACUUCUUCUCAGCCGUGGUCGCUGCAGCGUGAGCAAGAAGGGAGGAGGAGAUGGUUGGGACUCGUUCUGAGGCCAAGGUGGGAUCAAGGUCAGUUGAGGAGUCCACUCGUCAAGGUUGAUAGAUAUGCGAUUGCUCACGCCUCUUUCACCAUCCUGCUACACUAAGUUCAGGUUUGGUGAUCUGAGGAUGAGUAACUCGAUGGGGCUUAUGUUUGAUGCGAGG
rnacentral:RNase_MRP_RNA from 2 species